rnacentral:lncRNA from 1 species
GUUCUAGUAUUGGAUGGCCGGGGCCAUCUUCUGGGCCGCCUGGCGGCCAUUGUGGCCAAGCAGGUACUGCUGGGUAAGUUUCAUUCAACAUCCACAUUUGCCUGAGAGUCUGUGAUGAGCAAUAAUCACCAUCUUUCGUUUGAGUCUCACGACUGUGAGAUCAACCCAUGCACCGCUCUGAGACUUACUGCCCCUGCUUACUUGGGGUUCAUGGCUUAGAAAUGAUUUUGGAACAGAUCUGCAUUCCACGAGUGCUCUGUGGCUUUGUUGGGUGUUCAGUGACUUUCCUGACUGUCUCCAACCCCAUGCUUUCUAGGCCGAAAGGUGGUGGUUGUACGCUGUGAGGGCAUCAACAUUUCUGGAAAUUUCUACAGAAACAAGUGUGAGUUAGGGCUGGGGUGGUGGGCUUGGGUGGGGCUAAGCAGGUCCUUAGUUGCUUUUUGGACCCAAAAGGCCUCAUAUACUUUUCCUUCUGACAGUAAAGUAUCUGGCCUUUCUCCGAAAGCGGAUGAACACCAACCCGUCUCGAGGCCCCUACCACUUCCGAGCCCCAAGCCGCAUUUUUUGGCGCACUGUGCGAGGCAUGCUGCCGCAC